AGUUUGGCCCGGAGCACAACAAACGGAGCUGGUGGCGUGAGGUUCGGUGCUGCGGACCGCGGCUUGUGCGCCCCUGCGUAGAGCGCCACUGCUAGAUGGAGGUUUGGUUCACCUUGUUGAAGAAGAUACCCAGCAUGUAAUCUGCCCUGCGGCUCUUCUGUGUUUAUCUGCAGUGUGAGCCAGUGGCAGGAUCAGCUGACCA